UUCGUUUUGGUUCAAAUUUCAAUUUUCUGCAUUUUCAACUUGGUCGUCAAACUGGUCUGCCACAACAGCCAAAUGAUUUUGAUUGUGGAUACUAUACCUUGAAAUAUAUGGACAAUCCCUCUAUUGUUGCUGACCAGUCUUAUCAGGUAUAUGCUUUUUUUUUUUUCAAUCUUGAACAUUGAUGAUUCUGAUAUUUAGUUCAUGAUCAAUGCUUUCUUCAGACCAUUUAUCAGUCAUUAUGUUUAAUGAUUCUGUAUUUAGAUUAAUAACAAUGAUAACAGAGGAGUACUGCAAAGAAGUAAUAAAUAUUAAAGUUUUCUUUAUGAAGAGUACUUUUAAGGCAUAACUAGGAGUACUCGAUAAUUUUUUUUCCUUUUAAGGAUGUAUUAAGCAAGCUGUUUUUAGAAGAUAUCUAGUUUUGAAAGCAAUAAGACAUACUUUUUAGCAAGUAAACAAGCACCAAAAAUGUGAAUUGUUAAAAAUCUGCAUAUGUAAAAGGCCAAGUAUUUAUAUUUAAGAAGCAUUAUUAUAUGUUGCAAGUCAACUACUUUUGUGAAAAAAUAAGCUUGCUGCUAGUAAUUAGGUAGCAACCACUGGAGUCGUGAACUAUGUGGACUUUGUUAUUUUUAUAUAAAUUCAUCUUGUGAGCAUAUAGAAAUUGUUGUAAUUAGUGUUUCUUUUUUGUUAGCACGAUUCGGAUUAUGCUCGCAUCCUGUUGGCACUCUAUCUAGCACAAUCUCCACUUAAUGAUAUUAGGCAUAAACUCAUGCAAGAUGCUUCCAAUGGAUAUGGAAAGUGUAGUGCUGCUGACUCGCAAAGGGCCCCUUGUAAACAAACUUCAGAAUUAAGAAAAGCUGCCAGAAAUAUUAAUCUUAACCAGACACCGUCCGAGGCUUUAUUAAAAACAUUACUAUGAUCUCUAAAGGUAUGUUAAGUCGCUUGUCAUUCCCAUUUUUGAUCUUAUGUCCUAUGCUUAUCAAUUGUUAUUAAGUUGUUUUUUCUAUUUCUUUUAGUGAGUUAUGAUGUUUUGGGUAGACCAAUUAAACUUGUUAUUAAUCAUCUGCUUGUGUUUUGAACUAGGUGUCACUACACUUGGAAUGGCAACUUUUAUAUUUUGGUAUUCGAAGCCAUUUUGUUUUUGAAUUUUUUUGUAACAAAACCUUUUUGGUAUAGCAUAUACUAAUCAUUUUUUGGUUAGGUAGUCGAGUAACUGUUUAUUAGAACCUUUGUCAGUUCAUUCACCUAAAGAAGCAGAUGAGCCAUGUGUGGCCUUAGAAGAUGGUGUUGUAGAUGCAUUUCGUGCUCCUGGAUGCCCUCUUAUUUUUUUGUGUACGAGGGUAGUGUAUUUAGGUUGCAUAUUCUGACCAUUUGUUAUUAGGCACUAUCGGUCAGAGAUGGCUAAUUGUAGAAACUUGAUAUGUAUUUAGGGCUAUAUCUCUGUUAAUUCUUCUCUAUUAUAACUGUCUUAAAAUUCCAGUAAAAUUACUUAUUGAAUUUUUUGUAGCUUAAAUUUGGUUUUGUUUUGUUUCAGAUUUUGAUGAAUUAUGAUGUUGAAGGGUUUCGACUCUUUUGUAAUCUACUUUGCUUUGACUAAUGAUGUUCAAUCCUACAGAUAUUAUAUCUUUGUAGAUUCAAUUUUCCGUUGUUAAAUUUAAGUGAUCUUUUAUUUUUCCUUUGUGGCUUGCAUGCAUGCAUGAGUGUCGAAAAGGUCACUGGAGUGUUAUUUUUUGGUUGUUGGGCACUUGCAUUAAUUGUAUUUACUCUCCUACAACUGCAGAUUUAUGUGCCCAUACAUUAUGAAGCUCAUUGGUACAUGCUUGUUAUUGACAUUCUUCGUCAAACUGCUGAUAUUUGGGAUUCAUUGGAAUCUCUCAGUCAAAGAGAAAAAAUGAUUAAUCAGUCAUUGACAAUUGUAUGUUCUUAGGAGGAUUGACUACAUUUGUGCGUUAGUCGGAAUUUGAUUAAAUAACAUUCUAAAUUUUGUUAACACUUAUUCUGGUUGAUGUUGGCAGCUCGCCUCACUGGAUUUUUUGCUACUUAGAGAGGCUCGACUUCGUUUUGGUUCAAAUUUCAAUUUUCUGCAUUUUCAACUUGGUCGUCAAACUGGUUUGCCACAACAGCCAAAUGAUUUUGAUUGUGGAUACUACACCUUGAAAUAUAUGGACAAUCCCUCUAUUGUUGCUGACCAGUCUUAUCAGGUAUAUGCUUUUUUUUUUUUCAAUCUUGAACAUUGAUGAUUCUGAUAUUUAGUUCAUGAUCAAUGCUUUCUUCAGACCAUUUAUCAGUCAUUAUGUUUAAUGAUUCUGUAUUUAGAUUAAUAACAAUGAUAACAGAGGAGUACUGCAAAGAAGUAA
rnacentral:lncRNA from 1 species